rnacentral:rRNA from 1 species
GACGAACGCUGGCGGCGUGCUUAACACAUGCAAGUCGAACGGUAAGGCCCUUCGGGGUACACGAGUGGCGAACGGGUGAGUAACACGUGGGUGAUAUGCCCUGCACUUCGGGAUAAGCCUGGGAAACUGGGUCUAAUACCGGAUAGGACCACUGCCUGCAUGGGUGGUGGUGGAAAGAUUUAUUGGCAAAGGAUGAACCCGCGUAGGAUUAGCUAGUUGGUGGGGUAAAGGCCUACCAAGGCGACGAUCCUUAGCUGGUCUGAGAGGAUGAUCAGCCACACUGGGACUGAGACACGGCCCAGACUCCUACGGGAGGCAGCAGUGGGGAAUAUUGGACAAUGGGCGAAAGCCUGAUCCAGCAAUGCCGCGUGAGUGAUGAAGGCCUUAGGGUUGUAAGGCUCUUUUACCAGGGAUGAUAAUGACAGUACCUGGAGAAUAAGCUCCGGCUAACUCCGUGCCAGCCGCCGCAGUAA